GUCCUCUUCCGGGUUCUGGUGUUUAAACGAUUAUUCUUCCCGCCCAUCUGUAUAGUGCUCCAAUCAGCAAGCUGGUAUCAUCCUCUUAUGUCAUUUAAUCACCCGAGCGUCCUGCUGUAAUAAUUUUGGUGCCAGUUGCCGUUCAUACUCGCGAUAGGUCACUUCCGGGUUGUGUGUAUGUAUGUGAAUGUGUGUAUGUGAAUUUGUGUGUG